GUCUAUGGCUCUACCACCCUGAACGUGCCCUUUCUCGUCUGAUCUCGGAAGCUAAGCAGGGUUGGGCCUGGUUAGUAAUUGGAUGGGAGAAAAUGGCCUUCCUAGUUC
rnacentral:rRNA from 1 species